rnacentral:tmRNA from 1 species
GUCCGCGCAAGCGGACUAUGGACAUAAACGCGCUCGUAAUAAGCGGAUCGGACCCGGGGGCGGUACCCGGCGGCUCCACCAAAAGNNCAUCUGACGGUGCGCGGGCGCGACGGAAUAUGGCUGCGGAUGACGCCGCGCGCGUGAUUCCCCAGCCUGUGACGCGGCGACCAACGCGGGGCGCAGGGGUCGAAAGAGACGCGAGCACGUCUCGAUUC